rnacentral:rRNA from 1 species
UGAAAUCCGUAGAUAUCAGAUGGAACACCAAUGGCGAAGGCAGUCUUCUGGAUCAUUGCUGACACUGAGGGACGAAAGCGUGGGUAGCAAACAGAAUUAGAUACUCUGGUAGUCCACGCCCUAAACGAUGCAUGCUUGUUGUUGGUUCCCUUCGGGGUAUCAGUGACGUAGCUAACGCGUUAAGCAUGCCGCCUGGGGAGUACGAUCGCAAGAUUAAAACUUAAAGGAAUUGACGGGGACCCGCACAAGCGGUGGAGUAUGUUGUUUAAUUCGAUGCUACGCGAGAAACCUUACCGACCCUUGACAUCUUGGUCGCGAUUUCCAGAGAUGGAUUUCUUCAAUUCGGUUGGACCAAAGACAGAUGCUGCAUGGCUGUCGUCAGCUCGUGUCGUGAGAUGUUAGGUUAAGUCCUGCAACGAGCGCAACCCACGCCCUAUGUUGCCAGCGGGUAAUGCCGGGAACUCUUAGGGGACUGCCCGCGUCAAGCGGGAGGAAGGCGUGGAUGACGUCAAGUCAUCAUGGUUCUUACGGGUCGGGCUACAAACGUACUACAAUGGUGGUAACAAUGGGUCGCAAUGCUGCAAGGCAAAGCCAAUCCUUAAAAACCAUCUCAGUUCGGAUUGUCCUCUGCAACUCGAGGGCAUGAAGCUGGAAUCGCUAGUAAUCGAGGAUCAGAAUGCAGCGGGAAACU